GAGAGUAUAGCUCAGUGGUAGAGUGUAUGCUUAGCAUGCAUGAGGUUCUGGGUUCAAUCCCCAGUACCGUCA
rnacentral:tRNA from 1 species